rnacentral:lncRNA from 1 species
CACGCAUUUUCCGUAUCCAGUAAUCAUUAGCGUGUGACCACUGGUCAGUCAAUAGUCGGUAUGUGUACAACCAACAGAAAAUGAAAUGGUUUCAAAAUAUAUCUGUCAACAUCGUUAUUUUGCUUCAAGUAGAAUGCUUAGCUUGGUCUGGCAUUGGUACAAAAUGCUGUCAAUUAUCGUAAAAAUGGAUAUUGGCGGCGAAAAACAGGAUUUCAAAGGUAAUUUUCAUCCUCGAAAUUUUUGUUUGUUUGCACUCGUGAAAUCACAAUUGAGUUUAUGAAAAUGGCAUGGCAUCUAGCAUUAACAUUGUUAAGAAUAUUGCAGCUGUAUUAAACAUACAUUUGAAGUAAAAGUUUAGUGCCACUCGUAACCUAGUAGAAAUAAUGAAUGUUGUUUCGUAUUUUCUCGGGAACCAAUAAUUUCUCGGUGGUCGUAUACUCGUAAUAAAAUUAAUUACAUUGGUGACACACGUCAUUCAUUGGAAUCAUUCUACGUGCAACCAACUACUUAGACAAAAUGUAUUCUCUUAAAUGUAAAUGUCCGAGGAAAUGCGCUAAGUUGUUUUAGUCGUGCUGUCCGAUUAUGUCUAUCCGAAACUUUGCUAGUCAGAUAAACACGCGAAGUCUCGUUGGUAAAUGCCUGUCAGAAAAAUAUAGAUUAUUGUUAUUAUGUGGGAUAGGUAUGGAUUAUAUCAUUAGAUAGGCAUGUUUUCCUAUUGGGUCGGGCUAUUGUCUAUCUAAAUUAAAUGUUGUAUGAAUUACAAGUUGUUUGUACUCGGCAAUUGUUGUUGUUUACUACAUAGGAAAGAUAACUCUCGCACACGUACGGUUUCAAUACUCAUGUUUAGGCCAGGAUAGAAGUAUUAAAAUAUUUGGUUUAAUACACUUACGUAAUAGGGUAAUUGCCAGGAAAAUAUAUGGAUUUAAUUUCAUUUAAGCUGUUUAUGCAGUAAGGAAGGAAAGUUGUGAACAGUCAGUAAAUAAAAAUGGACAAUAUACCAAGCACAAAUGGUAUACCAAGCACAAAUGGAAGGAGAACAAACAAUAUUUAAAACCAUUAUGUGAUGCCUGUUUAACACGGAUAUACAUACAAGCUAAAUUAACUAAGCUAGUCAAGUGGAUUGUAUAAAUCAAAUUUAUCCAAAGCCUCUGGGAAUGUGGAAUAGAAACUUGAAAGCAACAAGUUUAGAAACUAGAAUGACUUUAAUUAACAACAGCUACAAAUGUCACAAUAAUUGUUUUAACAUGAACUUUCCAUUUGAUCCAUCACAAAGCAGAAAAAUUCACAAACGCUGGAAUCCUAAAACUUACAUACAAAUUAGACACACCUUGUCUAUUGGGACAGGCCUUGUCACAAACAAACAGUAAUUGCCUGUAACAAAACUAGGAGACAUACAAAAGGAAUCGUUCGAAAAAUAUCAGCUGCAGUGGCACUUACCAGGACAUUAGCUUAGUAUGUCAUGACCGGACAGUGAGUAAGAUGACAAUAUUACAAUAGCAAGAGGAGAAAUAUAAAUAUACUCUCUUAUAGUAAUAUGUAUUACUUAUUGUUUGCAAAAGUGUUUUAAAAACUUGUAACACUAACAGUAGAAAACUCUAAUAUAUGUAAUAUAAGUAAUUAAGCCGAGACUGGAAAGAUGUUUGUUCAAAUGUAGUUUUAUCAAUAGACUUACGCAAAUGGAAACCAAGAAGCGGUUAGCUCCUUAAUAUCGAAGAACAAUUAAUCAAAGGAUGUCUCAGUAAUGGUCUUCACAUAAACAUAAAAUGCUUUUUCAGCAGUGACAAUAUUUUUCCAUGCUUCAUUUCGGGGAUGUUCAGUUGCAAUGAUACUGACUAUAUUGUGUGAAUUAGCCAUAUUUUGUUUUUACAUGUUGAAAGUUGCAUAAAUAGUGCAAUGAACUUUGGGCAGUAUGAACUUUGAGCAAUCAAUGUUUCCUAAAUUCAACUGAUGUACUUUUAUAUGUUAUAUAAAUUGCAUAGUCAGCCAGGUCAUGUAAUCCAACGCUUUCCCGUACUUUUCUCUCAAAGAGUUUUUAGGGUUUUGGUGCGCGGAUUACAAAUAAAACUUGUACAUGAUUUUAUUUUGCUUAAUCUCUGUUCAUUGCUCUAUUUACUGUUUAUGCCACGAAGAACUAGUUCAUAAUAAGUUAUUCUGAAUCAUGUCAUUCACAUUACCGUCUAUGUUACAUAUUUUGGAUGGACUUUUACAUUAUUAUGUUUGAGGACCAUGUUAGACUGGCUGUAGCCAAAUAUGCUAUUCUACUUUAAAAAAAAAGUUACUGAUUUGAAUAUGUAAUCAUUCUGAUAUUUAUCCUUUUCGGGGAAAAAUGUUUUACGAAGUUUCAGUUCUAUAUAUAAUUGGAAACAUUAUUUCUUAUGAUUCUGUUGUUACCUCUGAAUGUAUUGAGUAGAAAAUGAAAAGAUAAAUGCAAUGAUUUAACUUUUAAGAUUAAGUAAACUAUUAUAUACAUUAA